rnacentral:rRNA from 1 species
GACGAACGCUGGCGGCGUGCUUAACACAUGCAAGUCGAACGGAAAGGCCCUGCUUUUGUGGGGUGCUCGAGUGGCGAACGGGUGAGUAACACGUGAGUAACCUGCCCUUGACUUUGGGAUAACUUCAGGAAACUGGGGCUAAUACCGGAUAGGAGCUCCUGCUGCAUGGUGGGGGUUGGAUAGUUUCGGCGGUUGGGGAUGGGCUCGCGGCUUAUCAGCUUGUUGGUGGGGUAGUGGCUUACCAAGGCUUUGACGGGUAGCCGGCCUGAGAGGGUGACCGGCCACAUUGGGACUGAGAUACGGCCCAGACUCCUACGGGAGGCGGCAGUGGGGAAUAUUGCACAAUGGGCGGAAGCCUGAUGCAGCAACGCCGCGUGCGGGAUGACGGCCUUCGGGUUGUAAACCGCUUUCGCCUGUGACGAAGCGUGAGUGACGGUAAUGGGUAAAGAAGCACCGGCUAACUACGUG